rnacentral:pre_miRNA from 1 species
UGAGUUGGUUAUCAUUGUUGCAAUGUAAGUAACAGUAACGAUGUUAGUCAAUGCA